rnacentral:rRNA from 1 species
UGCGCAGGCGGAAAAUUAAGUCAGAAGUGAAAGCCCCGAGCUCAACUUGGGAACUGCUUUUGAUACUGAUUUUCUUGAAUAUAGUUGAGGUAGGCAGAAUACAACAUGUAGCGGUGAAAUGCAUAGAUAUGUUGUAGAACACCAAUUGCGAAGGCAGCUUACUAAACUAUUAUUGACGCUGAGGCACGAAAGCGUGGGGAGCGAACAGGAUUAGAUACCCUGGUAGUCC